UGUCCCCAAACAAGUGUUUUUUGAGUGUGGGGCGCGCCUGCGCACGCCCGGGAUGGGGACUCUGCAGUAUAUUGUACCGGAACCAAUACUCACCGCCCCUCUAGUUGCCGCCCCCCGCGGUGGUGUGUGUGUGUGUGUGUGUGUGUGUGUGUGUGUGUGUGUGUGUGUGUGUACGCGCGCGCACAGCUACUCAACCCUCCGCGCGCCCGGUUACCGAGGACGCGAUGUGCCUGCGGGCUUCAGGACCCGCGCCCCUCCAAGGAACUCCGGGGUUUGCGUCGCUGCAGACGGGUGACUAGUUUCAGAACCCGGAAUGGCAGAUCCGCUCCAGAGCGUAGUGAAGGGAGAGAGGGCUCAGAGGCCAGAGCCAUUGAAGAGCCGCCAAGCUUACCUGCAAUUUCUCAGAUUCUCGGGUCCUGUGUGGACUACACGCCGACCCAAGUAGGGUCGAGAUGCAUUUAAAGCAGAAAUGCUCAGAAAUGAUUUCCUCAACAAUCUAUGGAAGACAAAAAAAAAAAAAAAA